GAAAAAUUAGCGGAUGACUUGUGGCUAGGGGUGAAAGGCCAAUCAAACCUGGAGAUAGCUGGUUCUCCCCGAAAGCUAUUUAGGUAGCGCCUCGGACGAAUACUACUGGGGGUAGAGCACUGUUAAGCUAGGGGGUCAUCCCGACUUACCAACCCUUUGCAAACUCCGAAUACCAGUAAGUACUAUCCGGGAGACACACGGCGGGUGCUAACGUCCGUCGUGGAGAGGGAAACAACCCAGACCGUCAGCUAAGGUCCCAAAUUACUACUAAGUGGGAAACGAUGUGGGAAGGCUCAGACAGCCAGGAUGUUGGCUUAGAAGCAGCCAUCAUUUAAAGAAAGCGUAAUAGCUCACUGGUCGAGUCGGCCUGCGCGGAAGAUGUAACGGGGCUAAGUAGUAAACCGAAGCUGCGGCAAUGUGCUUUUGCACAUUGGGUAGGGGAGCGUUCUGUAAGCGGU
rnacentral:rRNA from 1 species